AGCUCCAAUAGUGUAUACUAAUGUUGCUGCAGUUAAAAAGCUCGUAGUCGAAUUUCUGAUCCGUCAAACUCGCGCGGUUCUUCAAAGAAGAAUCUGUCGUGAAUUGUUUGUGGGUCAUCAUUCUGGAGAGUACUUCUGCCCUUGAUUGGGUUGGUUGUACAAUCCAGAGCAUUUACUGUGAGCAAAUGGGAGUGUUCAAAGCAAGCUUUAUGCAUGCCUGAACCGUUUAGCAUGGAAUAAUGAAAUAUAACUCUGAUUAUAUUUCGUUGGCUUAUAAAAUUAGAGUAAUGAUUGAAAGGGAUAGUUGGGGGUGCUCAUAUUCAGGGGGUAGCGGUGAAAUGCAUUGAUCCUCUGAAGAUGAACUAAUGCGAAAGCAUUCACCAAGGAUAUCUUCU
rnacentral:rRNA from 1 species